GCGCUGCUCGACCGGCUGCCGGAUCUGCGACUGGAUCCCAGCGAACCCCCGCCGCACGUGGUGGGGGUGGCGUUCCGCUCGCCGGCGGCGCU
rnacentral:tRNA from 1 species